GCGCAGCUGCCGGGGCGCGUGCGCGUGCGCGGGAGAGCUGGCCCGGGCGGGGGCUGAGCCCCAUGAGCCGGGAGGUCACCGGCCCCCCGCGUGGGGCAAGGGGUGUUGGCGCGCCCGGGCCUCGGGGCCCGUCCCACCCAGAGCAGUGGGGUCACCCAGCCCCCCUCGCACAGCCUUGGGUUUCAGGGAGCAAGGGCCCAGCUGCUCCUUCUUCCCCCAUGUGACAGCUGCACUGGCAGAGCAGGCCGCAUACAGUUCUCCCCGCGGAGGGCGGUCCUGCAUUUAAUUAAUGCAUUGUUUUUUUAACGAGCAUCAAAAGCCGGGACCCAUGUCCUCUGGAAUGGUGCCUGAAGCAUGAAGGCUUGAUAUGAAUCUUUAACGCAUCUGGCAUGUAAAUAUCUUGCAACGGCCGGCUACAACGGUGUCAUGCAAACGCCUGGGCUCGCUGUCAGGUGUCGUUGUAAACAAGCGAGCAGCAUUGUCUCCUGCAGCUGUAACCAAACCUGUUCGGCUGAGCGAUUGGCUGCACAAGAAGUAGGACUGAGUGGACUGGGUGACCAUUCUGAUAAUGCAUGUGUCAACGAUUUCAUUCCUCAUGUAAGAAAUUUAUUGUGAGUGACUUCCCAUUUUGGUGCCAUCAAUGGGUGGCAUUUGGGAGAGACUUUUUUUUUUUUUUUUACCGAUCAAGAAAGAAGCAAAUCUAAAGAGCCUAUCAGAACCCAGAGGCAUAUUCAAGCCCCACUGAAGGGGGAACUACAUUCAAGGUGCCCUGUGCAGCUCAGAGAAUAGAUGAUCAUAUUUUGAUAUGGUUAUUCACAGGGGUGGAGCUUAUGUUGUGGGUGCAGCCUGGAAGAGUCCCAUCCUGCCCCUCCUCCCCAUUUGAUUUCUCAUCGAAUAAGUGAUCUGGAACUGGCAAAUCUGGGUUCUAGUCUUGGCUUGGAGACAUCCCAAAUCAGUGGCCACUUCUAUAAAUCUGAAGUGAUUUGCCCAAGAUCACCCAAUGAGUCUGUGGCAUAGCUGGGAAGAGAACCCAGGAGAACUGCACUUUCACUACAAGAUUAUGCUUCCUCCUGUCACUCAUGUCGUUGUGCAGUCCCCGAAGGAGUCCAAGCAGUGUCUAUUUUGCAUGAGUGCAGGUAGCAAAAAAAUGUUUGCUAACCUAGGCCCUGAUCCAAAGCCCAAAAGUCCGGUAGGGAAAGAGGACUUAGGAUGUUGCAGUGAAUACCAGUGACCCCCAAAUGGGCCUUCUGCCUCUUUGGGAAUUUCAGUGGAGGUGCCACUCAGACACACAACACAAGUGGCUGAGCCACGUGCAGUUCUUACCCCUGAGGGUUUCCACAUAGGCUUCCAGCUCUUUGUCAUUCAUCACUGAGAUGCGGGCAGCGCCUGCAAAGGCAGACAUAGGAGUGACUUUGCCUCUCCGAGGAGUCGGGGCUUUUUUGAGCGUGUGGAGUCUCUUCCCAUGAUCCAUUAAGUUGCCAGCAUCUAUCCAGGCCCGCCUGCCAGUGGACGCCAGGAACUUCUGCCGGUAGUAACUAGAAGACAAAAGAUGGCGCAGUGUCACCAAACACUCUGCACACAGGACAGCUAUAGCCAGUGAACAGCCCUUUUCACCUUCUUUAAAGGGAGCUAGCAAAGGUGAAUGGAGCUUGUGUCCUUUUCCUGCUUUAUGUUGCAUAGAGGAGGCUGGGGAUGAUUUGAAACUUUUUUUUUUCUUAUUUUUAAUUUUUUUUGAACUUUAGCAUAAAUUCAGCUCUUACGUCUCCUUGGAGACUCUGGACAGCUAGAGAACUGGUCGGAUUAUGGAACCUGCAAUAUCUAGAAACAGAAUCCUGAUUCACCAUGAGAAGGAAGGGAUUUCUACUCAGAUAGAUUAACGCUCUUUGGAGCCCAUUGGGAUACCCUGGUGCAAGCUGAAUAGCACUGUACCCUGCUGAUUUCUGUAAGACUGCUCAUGGUGGAAGAGACGGUUCAUUGAGAGGAAGAGUAACCAAGUCUAGCGCCCUUAUUUUUCCAAAGCAUCUUAAAACACUUGGGAGAAGGGCUCUCUGUCUUAAGGAUUCAGCUCCCCGCCCUGCUGAUAAAGAGCAGAGAAAGCUCUGAGACCAUACCUCCAAGUCCUCCAACCAGACCCGGACAGGCAAGACCUGAAAACCGUACUCCUAAGGGUGAAAAAAUCCUUUCAAGGCCUUCUCUACCCAUCAUAAGGAAGCAAACCACAGCACCUCUUUUUCUUUGCAGGUCACCUUUAAAGAUAGGUUGCCGAUCCUGAUUUAGCCCGGAGGUCGGCCCCUGCUACCCACAACUUUCCUUCAUGCAGCCUGCAGCCAUCCUCGUCUUUCAUACCCUGGAAAGGUGUAGCUUGCCAAGGAGAAGCCAGGAGACAAUGCUCCAGCUUGAUGCAAGCAGCCAGGCUGGGAGGCUUAGGCAGUGUUCUGGAGAGCCGAAAUUUCCACCAGCUUUGACAGGACCUCAAAGAACAGGAUUCCUGAGGUGUCGACAGAAUCAAGGUCCUCCAUGCUGUCUUUCUCGGGGGCUGGGAGGAGAUGCACGUCAAUCAGAGCACCCACUCCACCAACCCAUCUCCUUCAGAGACCCCAGUCAGCACUAGGUACCUCCAACAAUGUUUUGUCUGGGCAAAGUAUGGUGUAUGCAUGUGUGGGAGCAUGUCUCCUGCCUGAUGCACUGGGGCAAGUGCUAGCUACACCUGUAGCAAGGGGUACUUCUCACUGCCCUCUCCCAUAGCCCAAGGAAGCAUAGUAUCUCCAGAUAAUGCUGCUCCCCCUCUGCUUUGGAAGAGGCAGAUUUGGUCCUGGUAUUCCAGCCAGAGAGACUCAGACUGAGUAUGUGGAGCACAGCUUUGACUUACUUACCCUGGCUAUCUGAACCCUGCUUAUAUGCCCCAGGGUUCCUGGGCUCCCCAUCAUCACUCCCCUUUCAUGGUGAUUCCUCCUCAUGAGCCAGGCUACCUUGGGGAGCUGUGCCAGUACCUGCACUCUUCUCUGUGCCCCCAGGCCCCUCAGCAUGGAGCCCAGCAGAUGCCUCCUCCCCCUGAGCUGGAUUGUCAAGGCUUUGUACAGCUGUUUCGAAUGGGGGCCCGCUGUGCGCGAGCUCAUUCUUUGGGGGACCCCAGAUGUUGAUAUUUGAGUCCACAUCACGUGAACUCCCAAUUGCCCCAAGGUUCAGGUAACACCAAUGCCUCUACGCAAGUGGGAUUCUCUGGCCACACACUAACAUCGCCGGGGGGACUGUGGCCAAUCCCAUUGGCUGGGCCCGGUUCACCGCACUCACCUACAGCCUGGAUGAAGCGCUUGUUGUCGCUGACAAUGGUCAAAAAAUCAGAGAAGUUCACCUUCCCAUCUCCUGCAAGGUAAACAGCAUUUCCCACUGAUCAAGCGCCUUUCACCCCAGGGAGAGGGUAGUGAUGGGCCUACUCCAGGCCAGGUUGGCUACAGCCGCCUUCCCCUGAGUGCUGGUGGAGAAGGGGCUCUGUUGCUAAGAUCCACGCUAGACAAGUGCAUAAUAAUACCUCCCUCACUCCAUUGGUUGUCAUCAGCAUGGGUCUGUCUAAGUUCUGAGACCAGGCUGCUGAAGGGAGCCUGUGUCAGAGAGUGAUAGCUAGGUCCCUACCAAAUUUACGGCCAUGAAAAACAUGUCACGGACCAUGAAAUCCGUUUUUUUUGUGUGCUUUUACCCUAUACUAUACUGAUUUCACAGGGAGACCAGUGUUUCUCAAAUUGUGGGUCCUGACCCAAAAGGGAGUUGAAGGGAGGUUGCAAGUUUAUUUUACAGGGUUCGUGGUAUUGCCACCCUGACUUCUGCGCUGCUGCCUGCAGAACUGGGCGGCCAGAGAGCAGCAGCUGCCGACUGAGGACCCAGCUCUGCAGGCAGCAGCGCAGAAGAAAGGGUGGCGAUACCAGACCCCAUCCUGACUUCUGCGCUGGUGCUGGCGGCGACUCUGCCUUCGGAGCUGGGCUCCCGGCCAGCAGCCACCGCUCUCCAGCAGCCCAGCUCUGAAGGCAGCGCCGCAGCCAGCAGCAGUGCAGAAGUAAGUGUAGCAGUACUGCAACCCCCCACACAAUAAUCUUGUGAAACCCACCCGCCCAUAAUUCCUUUUGGGGUCAGGAUCCCUAUAAUUACAACACUGUGAAAUUUCAGAUUUAAAUAGCUGAAAUUAUGAAAUUUACUAUUUUUAAAAUCCUAUGACCGUGAAAUUGACCAAAAUGGACCGUGAAUUUGGUAGGGCCCUAGUGAUAGCUGUAUGGCUGGCCUGCUUCUGACCUGUGUGCAUGGGAGGGGGGAGGUCUACAAGAGAAGAAAACCUUAGUGAAUCCCAGGUUGAAACCCAAGGAGCCAAUACAUUUUGGGCCCAAACGUGGCCUUAAGCCACUGGCUGCAUUGGAAAGGGCUGAGGAGGGGUCUUGUAUGUAUGAGUCUGUAUUGUCACAGAGAGGACACAGGGGGACUUGCUUUGGAUACUUGCUGAGGAGGUGUCCUUUAGCUUGGCUGGCAGAGGGGCGGUUCUGGGAGCAGAAAGACUGGGAUUCUAGUCUGGGUUCCUCGUGUGUGUGUGAGUGAUGUGUGCUAAUGUCAGGGCAGCCCAAGGAAGAAUUCUUGUGGACUCAGCCAGGAUUCCUCUUGAGGGAGCAGGCACAGCGGCAGGGCAAACUCCCAUCACCCGUUCACAUGGUGCCCUUCACAGUGCUGCCUAAUGAGGAGAUGGGCAUAGUCCCAUCCUCCCUUGCCCCUACCCCUUUGGAUCAGCAUAUUGUCAGCCUCGUGCACUUCCUGCCCAUCCUGGAGCUAGCCCUGUGAACAGCUGCCCCCACCUGCCCACCACUUUGCCCAUUUCCCCUGCAAGAGCCCUGCUUUCAUACUGAGUUGGUCUCUCACUUUGUAACAGACCGGGCCCUCCACUGCUCCAGCUGGAGUUAGCACAAACCUCUGCCAGACAGCAAGCGAUGGACCGCCUCAUCCCAAUGCCCACGCCCCAAGGGACAGAGGUCAGGAUGUUGUGGCACCUUUAACUCUCUCAGAUUUUUGAGGCUAUGAGAUCUCACCCUUCAUGUAGCCUUAAUGUGCUUUCUUUGUACUCCCUAUAGGAGUCACGUUCUGUAAUCAGGUGCAGGAGAUGAUGAGUUAAAGGCACACGGAAGAGCUGGUGCAAGUUCCCAGCUUGUCACAGACUCGCUGGGCUGCCUCUGACAAGUCACCAAAUGCCGACCUAAUCCUUCCUUCCUCUUACCCUCUGUCUUGCCUAUUUAGACUGUAAACUCCCCAGGGCAGGGACUGCUUCAUGUGACAUGUAGGAACAGUGUCUAGCACCACACCCUGCUCUCCCCCAGUGCCAGGAGUUUCAAGGGAGCACAACACCACACACUCACAAACACAGACCCUUGGAACGUACCACUGUGGACUAAACCAGGGAUGAUUGUGUACACUCACCAUUCAUAUCA